AGAAAGAUCGUUUGAGCUCGCUCAGUUCCGUCGUAUCUGUUUGUCAGUAUGCACAAGCGUACUAUUGUGGUGAUACUGAUUUUGUGUAACAUCGUGCCGCUAAUCGCAGGGUUCAAAUUGUGGAGCUGGCUUGGAUUCGGAAGGAAGCGUACGACUACUACACUUCGACCAACGCCUCCUAGUAGAAGCAACUACACCAGGCCAAGUGAGUGAAGAACAAAA
rnacentral:lncRNA from 1 species